UUAGAUACCCCACUAUGCCUAACCGUAAACUUUAAAUUACACCCAUAUCGCCCGGGAACUACGAGCAAAGCUUAAAACCCAAAGGACUUGACGGUACCCCACAUCCACCUAGAGGAGCCUGUCCUAUAAUCGAUAACCCCCGCUUAACCUCACCAUUUUUAGCCUAUCAGCCUGUAUACCUCCGUCGCCAGCUUACCACGUGAGCGACCCUCAGUGAGCUUAAUGUUUAUACACCAACACGUCAGGUCAAGGUGCAGCAGAUAAAAUGGGAAGAGAUGGGCUACACUCUCUAUUCUAGAAAAUACGGAAGACUAUUUAUGAAACCUAGUCAGAAGGCGGAUUUAGUAGUAAAAAGAGACAAGAGUGCUCUUUUUAACAUGGCACUGGGGUGUGUACACACCGCCCGUCACCCUCUUCAAAGCUAAUAUAAAGUCCCUAACACACCUAAGCACUACAGAAGAGGCAAGUCGUAACAUGGUAAGUAUACCGGAAGGUGUGCUUGGAAA
rnacentral:rRNA from 1 species